CUGGAAUUAAGGGUUAACAGACAUCAGUCCUGACCCAGCCUGCUUAAGGCCUUCCUAAGGCUUUGCACCUGCAGAGAUACAGGCCGUGCCUCUCUGAGCAAUGAGUCUUGCUUCUCCUUCACUUCCUGGGGCUUCUCUCAGCUCCACAUGGGGCAAAGAGCAGGGAGAACCCUGCUCAGUUCUGUCUAGCCCGACUGGGACGUGGAAAGGCUAAUCCGAGCCCCACUUCUGCCACUCAGUUGCUGGGCCUCAGUUUCCCUGGCUGUACGGAGAAGGCUGGAGUGCAAUGGCACGAUCUCAGCUCACCGCAACCUCCGCCUCCUGGAUUCAAGCAAUUCUCCUGCCUCAGCCUCCCGAGUAGCUGGGAUUACAGGAGAAAACAAGAUGGAACCCAGUGACUGGCCACCAUGGACACAUGCAAGGGAGAAGGAGAAGUCCCCAGUAGGAAAAGGAAUGUGUACAAUGAAAUGUAAUGAUGUAUAAUACAUUGGCUGUUUUUGAAUUCCAACCAUGGAUUUCCCAGCUACUGGCAGUGAAACUGAUCUUUUCUGUGACACGCCUGUCCCCCUUUGUCUUCUGCCAUGAGUGGAAACUUCCUGAGGCCUCACCAGAAGCUGAGCAGAUGCUGGUACCAAACUUGUACAGCCUGUAGAACCACAAGGCAAAUAAAUCUCUUUUUGAAAAUAG
rnacentral:lncRNA from 1 species